rnacentral:precursor_RNA from 14 species
GACCCGACCGCAGCCCCGAGGGCCCCUCUGCGUGUUCACAGCGGACCUUGAUUUAAUGUCCAUACAAUUAAGGCACGCGGUGAAUGCCAAGAGAGGCGCCUCCGCCGCUCCGAAUCCAC